GGUUAAGCGACUAAGCGUACACGGUGGAUGCCCUGGCAGUCAGAGGCGAUGAAGGACGUGCUAAUCUGCGAUAAGCGUCGGUAAGGUGAUAUGAACCGUUAUAACCGGCGAUUUCCGAAUGGGGAAACCCAGUGUGAUUCGUCACACUAUCAUUAACUGAAUCCAUAGGUUAAUGAGGCGAACCGGGGGAACUGAAACAUCUAAGUACCCCGAGGAAAAGAAAUCAACCGAGAUUCCCCCAGUAGCGGCGAGCGAACGGGGAGCAGCCCAGAGCCUGAAUCAGUGUGUGUGUUAGUGGAAGCGUCUGGAAAGGCGCGCGAUACAGGGUGACAGCCCCGUACACAAAAAUGCACAUGCUGUGAGCUCGAUGAGUAGGGCGGGACACGUGGUAUCCUGUCUGAAUAUGGGGGGACCAUCCUCCAAGGCUAAAUACUCCUGACUGACCGAUAGUGAACCAGUACCGUGAGGGAAAGGCGAAAAGAACCCCGGCGAGGGGAGUGAAAAAGAACCUGAAACCGUGUACGUACAAGCAGUGGGAGCACAGAGCAAUCUGUGUGACUGCGUACCUUUUGUAUAAUGGGUCAGCGACUUAUAUUCUGUAGCAAGGUUAACCGAAUAGGGGAGCCGAAGGGAAACCGAGUCUUAACUGGGCGUUAAGUUGCAGGGUAUAGACCCGAAACCCGGUGAUCUAGCCAUGGGCAGGUUGAAGGUUGGGUAACACUAACUGGAGGACCGAACCGACUAAUGUUGAAAAAUUAGCGGAUGACUUGUGGCUGGGGGUGAAAGGCCAAUCAAACCGGGAGAUAGCUGGUUCUCCCCGAAAGCUAUUUAGGUAGCGCCUCGUGAAUUCAUCUCCGGGGGUAGAGCACUGUUUCGGCAAGGGGGUCAUCCCGACUUACCAACCCGAUGCAAACUGCGAAUACCGGAGAAUGUUAUCACGGGAGACACACGGCGGGUGCUAACGUCCGUCGUGAAGAGGGAAACAACCCAGACCGCCAGCUAAGGUCCCAAAGUCAUGGUUAAGUGGGAAACGAUGUGGGAAGGCCCAGACAGCCAGGAUGUUGGCUUAGAAGCAGCCAUCAUUUAAAGAAAGCGUAAUAGCUCACUGGUCGAGUCGGCCUGCGCGGAAGAUGUAACGGGGCUAAACCAUGCACCGAAGCUGCGGCAGCGACGCUUAUGCGUUGUUGGGUAGGGGAGCGUUCUGUAAGCCUGUGAAGGUGUGCUGUGAGGCAUGCUGGAGGUAUCAGAAGUGCGAAUGCUGACAUAAGUAACGAUAAAGCGGGUGAAAAGCCCGCUCGCCGGAAGACCAAGGGUUCCUGUCCAACGUUAAUCGGGGCAGGGUGAGUCGACCCCUAAGGCGAGGCCGAAAGGCGUAGUCGAUGGGAAACAGGUUAAUAUUCCUGUACUUGGUGUUACUGCGAAGGGGGGACGGAGAAGGCUAUGUUGGCCGGGCGACGGUUGUCCCGGUUUAAGCGUGUAGGCUGGUUUUCCAGGCAAAUCCGGAAAAUCAAGGCUGAGGCGUGAUGACGAGGCACUACGGUGCUGAAGCAACAAAUGCCCUGCUUCCAGGAAAAGCCUCUAAGCAUCAGGUAACAUCAAAUCGUACCCCAAACCGACACAGGUGGUCAGGUAGAGAAUACCAAGGCGCUUGAGAGAACUCGGGUGAAGGAACUAGGCAAAAUGGUGCCGUAACUUCGGGAGAAGGCACGCUGAUAUGUAGGUGAAGUCCCUCGCGGAUGGAGCUGAAAUCAGUCGAAGAUACCAGCUGGCUGCAACUGUUUAUUAAAAACACAGCACUGUGCAAACACGAAAGUGGACGUAUACGGUGUGACGCCUGCCCGGUGCCGGAAGGUUAAUUGAUGGGGUCAGCGCAAGCGAAGCUCUUGAUCGAAGCCCCGGUAAACGGCGGCCGUAACUAUAACGGUCCUAAGGUAGCGAAAUUCCUUGUCGGGUAAGUUCCGACCUGCACGAAUGGCGUAAUGAUGGCCAGGCUGUCUCCACCCGAGACUCAGUGAAAUUGAACUCGCUGUGAAGAUGCAGUGUACCCGCGGCAAGACGGAAAGACCCCGUGAACCUUUACUAUAGCUUGACACUGAACAUUGAGCCUUGAUGUGUAGGAUAGGUGGGAGGCUUUGAAGUGUGGACGCCAGUCUGCAUGGAGCCGACCUUGAAAUACCACCCUUUAAUGUUUGAUGUUCUAACGUUGACCCGUAAUCCGGGUUGCGGACAGUGUCUGGUGGGUAGUUUGACUGGGGCGGUCUCCUCCUAAAGAGUAACGGAGGAGCACGAAGGUUGGCUAAUCCUGGUCGGACAUCAGGAGGUUAGUGCAAUGGCAUAAGCCAGCUUGACUGCGAGCGUGACGGCGCGAGCAGGUGCGAAAGCAGGUCAUAGUGAUCCGGUGGUUCUGAAUGGAAGGGCCAUCGCUCAACGGAUAAAAGGUACUCCGGGGAUAACAGGCUGAUACCGCCCAAGAGUUCAUAUCGACGGCGGUGUUUGGCACCUCGAUGUCGGCUCAUCACAUCCUGGGGCUGAAGUAGGUCCCAAGGGUAUGGCUGUUCGCCAUUUAAAGUGGUACGCGAGCUGGGUUUAGAACGUCGUGAGACAGUUCGGUCCCUAUCUGCCGUGGGCGCUGGAGAACUGAGGGGGGCUGCUCCUAGUACGAGAGGACCGGAGUGGACGCAUCACUGGUGUUCGGGUUGUCAUGCCAAUGGCACUGCCCGGUAGCUAAAUGCGGAAGAGAUAAGUGCUGAAAGCAUCUAAGCACGAAACUUGCCCCGAGAUGAGUUCUCCCUGACUCCUUGAGAGUCCUGAAGGAACGUUGAAGACGACGACGUUGAUAGGCCGGGUGUGUAAGCGCAGCGAUGCGUUGAGCUAACCGGUACUAAUGAACCGUGAGGCUUAACCUU
rnacentral:rRNA from 1 species